rnacentral:rRNA from 1 species
UGGUGGAGUGAUUUGUCUGGUUAAUUCCGUUAACGAACGAGACCUCGACCUGCUAAAUAGUUCGAUGAACUCCUUGUGAUUCAUGCUAACUUCUUAGAGGGACUAUCGGUGUUUAGCCGAUGGAAGUUCGAGGCAAUAACA